rnacentral:lncRNA from 1 species
AAUAUUUACUAGUUAACACACUUUAUAACAGACUCUGUGCAGGGGCGUGGAAUUACACAAGGUACAGAUACGCAACAGCUCAUAAUUAUUGGAAUAAAAGAAAAGGGGUUGGGCUGUCACUAUCUCUGUCCCCCUUGGAACUGAUAGCACAAUAGCCAAUAGCUGACCAUGAGUUGCAGUGUUUUCUCUGCCACCAUGCCAGUUCAUCAAGCAUGGGGUUACCACUGACUUCGGGGUCUACCCCUGAGCCUUCUGGCUUGAGUGGAUAAUCGCCUGACUGGGAGGGGGUCUCCUCUUAAACAGCACUCAUAUGUCUUAAGAAGUUCCCAAGGGGAUGAAAGUAACCCUAGAUACCAGAUGUUGUGGUCAAACACCGACUCCACUUCUUUCUCUAGGCCAGUGGGCAGGACCACAGGUGCAGCCAGAAGAAAGAACUGUUGUUCCUUGGGAAGGGAAAUAAAAAACCAGUAUUUAAGAGUUUAAAGUAAAUUAAUGGCCUGCGUUUCGGGGCCCCUGAUGAUGUGGGUUAGAUAACCAUGCAUGUUGACUCACACAUACCUUACCCUAAAUGUCGAGGUAAGAGGGAGGUCAUUGGCUAUCUAUAUUUCUCAUUUAUUGAGAUCAUAUCAUGAGAGAUAAAGCGAGUUUAUGCUGGCACAAUGAAAUGCUUUCGGACUCAUGUCAUUACCUUCCCUCACUCCACUGUAAUAUAAGCUCCUUGACAGGAGAGUGCUUUGUUCUAUUCACUAUUCUACCUCUAGCACUUUGGGUAACGCCUGGAACACAGUAGCGUUCUCUAUAUUUGCUGAAUACAUUGGUUCUCUCAUGGUCACAUUACUAUAUGUAGGCUCUGUUUUGGGAGACUUUCCUUUUGCCCUUACUUGGCUCAGAUGUGCGUUUUCCUCCCAAGGAAGAAUCUGUGGUCCGAAUGUGGCUAUUAUGUAUUCAUUCAUGCAUCAACUGCUUUGACGCAUUGAACACCCGAUUUUUUUUUUAACUGAAAAAAUAUCUAGAGGAAUGUUUUCCAUGAAAGGACUUGGAAUUUUAAAUUUUGCAUAGGUUUAGCAGCCAAUAAAAUACACAAACACACACUUUGGAGGGUGUGUCUUGCAUAAAGAGAACUAGUAAUUUAUCAUCCUGGGUAAAACAGGAGGGAGGAUCCAAUUCAUAUCAGGAUAAAUGAUAAACUAUGCAAUGCUAUAUAACAGUCUCAUAGAUCUCAGUCAUCUAUAAAACAACAAAAACAUGCUUAUUUUUUGCUCUUAUUAUUUGUCCAUCAUGGGUCUUUAGUGAACUGGCUGAUGGAAGAGUCAUUAUUUGAAGGGUUGCUAGCAGGUGUUGAAGAGGGAGAAAUUAUAUGCUCCAGCCAAAAAAGGAUGGCCUUUAUUCCCCCUCAUUCCCGUUUAUUGGCCAGAAACUUAUCACUUCGCUAGAGUACAGAUUCUAGCAAUAAUGGGCAGGUGGAUAGCUGGGUAAUGACUAUCACAGUUGUCACUUGACCAGGGUGCUUAGAUUUAUUCUAUUUGUGGAGGUCUUCCAUAAAAAAACUCAUGAGAAAUUUCCCAGAGGAGUAGUACUUUGAAAGAAAAAAAUCAGGGUUAACCAUUGUGUAACCUCAGCAAAUCAGAUCUUACAUGUAGACUAUGACAAUCAUAGACCUUUUGGAAAUCAGAGAGACCCGGGUUCAAAUUUCGGCUCUGCCAAUUAAUGUGUGGCUUUAUAUAAGAUAUUUGACCACUCCGAGAUGUGUAUGACCAUCUCUGAAAUGGAUCUACUUCACAGAGAAGACAAAACUGUUGAGAAAAUAAAAUGAGGUCCUGUAGAGAAGUGCUGAACACACAAUAUCUGGCACAUUUUACAGAUUCAAUACGCCAUGUCCUAGUUGAAAUGUAGAAAGUCUUGACAUUUUAUUAUUUGGUGCCUCUUGGGCUUAAGUUUUCUUGGCAAGCAAUGCUAGAAUGUUCUCAGGAGAUCUGGCAAUUAAGACUGCUCAAAUUUCUCUGUGGGAGAAUGUUUCUCGGAAAGAGCAGUUCUUUUGAAUGGAUUCUUCAGCUUAUCGGGUUUAAUUUUCAUGAAGUCUCUGUGUCCGCACUUAAGUUUUCACACAUACCCUCCUUACUCCGGUUUCUCUGAAAGUCUCACUAUUAGAGAAUCUAAACCUUGGAUACCCAUUAAGAUCCCCCAUCAAAGAGCUUUUCACAACACCUAUGUUUUGGUCUCACCUCAGACCCGUUAACUCAGUUUCCCAGGGAUUUAAUGUGCCUACGACUAGGACUGGGUCCUACGUAUUUUUUAAAAGCUCCUCUUGUGAUUCUAAUGAGCAGUGAGAGUUGAGAACCAUUUCUCUAUGUAUUCUGGCUCUUACCCAGCUCUCCAGUUUCAUCUGCUACCACUUUUCUCUCUCCUGGUCACUGUGCUCUAGCUACCUUUUUGUUCAUUGAACAUGCCAAAGUUGUUCCUUCUUCAGGACCUUUGCGUUAAUUGUUCCCUCAUCCUAGAAUGCCUCACCUCAAAUUUUCACGUACAGUUGCCCCCUGAACAAUGCAGUGAACGCUGUGCUGUUGAAAAUCCACUUAUAACUUUUGACUCCUCCCAGACUUAACUAUAGCCUACUAUUAACAAUAGCCUACUAUUGACCAGAAACAUUAUUGAUUGCAGCAACGUGGAUGGAACUAGAGACUCUCAUACUAAGUGAAGUCAGUCAGAAAGAGAAAGACAAAUACCAUAUGAUUUCACUUAUAUCUGGAAUCUAAUAUAGGGCACAAAUGAAUCUUUUCACAGAAAAGAAAAUCAUGGACUUGGAGAACAGACUGGUGGUUGCCAAGGGGGAGGAGGAGGGAGUAGGAGGGACUGGGAAUUUGGGGUUAAUAGAUGCAAACUAUAGCCUUUGGAAUGGAUAAGCAUUGAGAUCCUGCUGAAUAGUACUGGGAACUAUGUCUGGUCACUUGUGAUGGAGCAUGAUAGUGCGAGAAAAAAGAAUGUAUACAUGUAUGUGUGACUGGGUCACCUUGCUGUGCAGCACAAAAUUGACAGAACACUGUAAAUCAGAUAUAAUGGAAAAAAUAAAAAUCAUUAUUAAAAAAA